ACGAGGGGUGCAAGCGUUAAUCGGAAUUACUGGGCGUAAAGCGUGCGUAGGUGGUUAUUUAAGCAAGAUGUGAAAGCCCCGGGCUCAACCUGGGAACUGCAUUUUGAACUGGAUGACUAGAGUAUUGUAGAGGGUAGUGGAAUUUCCAGUGUAGCGGUGAAAUGCGUAGAGAUUGGAAGGAACAUCAGUGGCGAAGGCGGCUACCUGGACAAAUACUGACACUGAGGCACGAAAGCGUGGGGAGCAAACAGG
rnacentral:rRNA from 1 species